AUGCCGCGUGAGUGAUGAAGGCCUUAGGGUCGUAAAGCUCUUUCGCCAGGGAUGAUAAUGACAGUACCUGGUAAAGAAACCCCGGCUAACUCCGUGCCAGCAGCCGCGGUAAUACGGAGGGGGUUAGCGUUGUUCGGAAUUACUGGGCGUAAAGCGCACGUAGGCGGAUUAGAAAGUCGGGGGUGAAAUCCCAGGGCUCAACCCUGGAACUGCCUUUGAAACUGCUGGUCUUGAGUUCGAGAGAGGUGAGUGGAAUUCCGAGUGUAGAGGUGAAAUUCGUAGAUAUUCGGAGGAACACCAGUGGCGAAGGCGGCUCACUGGCUCGAUACUGACGCUGAGGUGCGAAAGUGUGGGGAGCAAACAGGAUUAGAUACCCUGGUAGUCCACACCGUAAACGAUGAAUGCCAGACGUC
rnacentral:rRNA from 1 species